GUUAAGCACAGGCUGCUUCUUUCAGAUUCUCUUGGAAUUACCGCGAAGCCGCCUUGGACCCUGACUCAGGCUCCUACAAGUCCAGGCCAGCAAGUUCAACCCUAACCUCUGGCUCUAGGUUGAAAAGUCACAGGAAGCACGGCCUGCCUCCCCAGGAUCACUGUGCCUGCCUCCCUUGCAGUGUGUUAAACAACUAAGAAGUCUAUGGUGACAUCACAGUGUGGCUGUGAGAUCCUGAGACUGGGUGGUCAAAGACAGGGUGUACCCGAGGAUAGUGGCAGUGAUGGCAUCCAGGCUGGGGAAGAGCCUGGCUGGACUGCAUGUUCCUGUCUGCAAAGCUUCAGAGCAUAUGGCCAGAAAAAGACAGAUUAUCAGAUGGAAGAGGCUGGGGUUGGUCCUGGGCUUGCAGGCUGGUACA